GAUGUGAAGGAUGGCUCUUCUAAAGUAAUAGCGGAGGGCGGAGAGUUUGUAUGUGAUCGGGUCUGGAGACCAUCUAGGAGUUGUCACGGGUUCAUGCAUUGGCUUUCUGUGUGCAGCGAUGGGGAGCUUUCUAUUUUCUAACUCUAAAGUUAGAAUUGGAAAAUAGAAGGCUCUUCACCGCUGUAUACAGAGGGCCAAUGUAUGAACCCGUGAUGGUUCCUGGAUGGUCUCCAGACCGGAUUGCAUACACACUCUCCGCUUUCUAUUGUUGUUUUGGAAGAGCCAUCCUUUGCAUUGAUGCACAGGAGGAGUUGGACAGGGAGAUUGACUGUAUCUUUGGAGCGGGCCGGGUCCACAGGUGUGCCAGGGGUCUUUCAAGAAACGUUUGUGGAGAAGUGCAGCGAUCGCUGGUGAGUGGGAGUACAGUAGAAAGAAAAAAUG
rnacentral:lncRNA from 1 species